GAUGAACGCUGGCGGCGUGCCUAAUACAUGCAAGUCGAGCGAACAGAUGAGGAGCUUGCUCCUCUGACGUUAGCGGCGGACGGGUGAGUAACACGUGGAUAACCUACCUAUAAGACUGGGAUAACUUCGGGAAACCGGAGCUAAUACCGGAUAAUAUAUUGAACCGCAUGGUUCAAUAGUGAAAGACGGUUUUGCUGUCACUUAUAGAUGGAUCCGCGCCGCAUUAGCUAGUUGGUAAGGUAACGGCUUACCAAGGCAACGAUGCGUAGCCGACCUGAGAGGGCGAUCGGCCACACUGGAACUGAGACACGGUCCAGACUCCUACGGGAGGCAGCAGUAGGGAAUCUUCCGCAAUGGGCGAAAGCCUGACGGAGCAACGCCGCGUGAGUGAUGAAGGUCUUCGGAUCGUAAAACUCUGUUAUUAGGGAAGAACAAAUGUGUAAGUAACUAUGCACGUCUUGACGGUACCUAACCAGAAAGCCACGGCUAACUACGUG
rnacentral:rRNA from 1 species